rnacentral:tRNA from 2 species
GCUGGAGUGGCGGAACUGGCAGACGCACGGGACUCAAAAUCCCGCGGGAUUCACUUCUCAUGUGGGUUCGACCCCCACCUCCAGCACCA